UUGUGGAUGACAAUUGCAAACAUGCACGCCGUAGGAUCCUUUGUAGACGACUUGAUUGGACGUGGUAUUGUAAGCAUGAGAGUAGUCUUUGCACUCCGAUCUGCUGAGAUUU
rnacentral:rRNA from 11 species